rnacentral:rRNA from 1 species
CGGCGUGCUUAACACAUGCAAGUCGAACGAACCUUCGGGUUAGUGGCGGACGGGUGAGUAACGCGUGGGAAUCUGCCCUCAGGAGGGGGAUAACGGCUGGAAACGGCCGCUAAUACCCCAUAUGCCGCGAGGUGAAAUGAAUUUCGCCUGAGGAUGAGCCCGCGUCUGAUUAGCUAGUUGGUGGGGUAAAGGCCUACCAAGGCGACGAUCAGUAGCUGGUCUGAGAGGAUGAUCAGCCACACUGGGACUGAGACACGGCCCAGACUCCUACGGGAGGCAGCAGUGGGGAAUUUUCCGCAAUGGGCGAAAGCCUGACGGAGCAACGCCGCGUGAGGGAUGAAGGCCUCUGGGCUGUAAACCUCUUUUCUCAAGGAAGAAGACCUGACGGUACUUGAGGAAUAAGCCACGGCUAAUUCCGUGCCAGCAGCC